UCGAGCGCCCCGCAGGGGAGCGGCAGACGGGUGAGUAACGCGUGGCCAUCUACCCUUUUCUACGGAAUAACGCAUGGAAACGUGUGCUAAUACCGUAUGAGCCCUUCGGGGGAAAGAUUUAUCGGGAAAGGAUGAGCCCGCGUUGGAUUAGCUAGUUGGUGGGGUAAAGGCCUACCAAGGCGACGAUCCAUAGCUGGUCUGAGAGGAUGAUCAGCCACAUUGGGACUGAGACACGGCCCAAACUCCUACGGGAGGCAGCAGUGGGGAAUAUUGGACAAUGGGCGCAAGCCUGAUCCAGCCAUGCCGCGUGAGUGAUGAAGGCCCUAGGGUUGUAAAGCUCUUUCACCGGUGAAGAUAAUGACGGUAACCGGAGAAGAAGCCCUGGCUAACUUCGUGCCAGCAGCCGCGGUAAUACGAAGGGGGCUAGCGUUGUUCGGAAUUACUGGGCGUAAAGCGCACGUAGGCGGACAUUUAAGUCAGGGGUGAAAUCCCAGAGCUCAACUCUGGAACUGCCUUUGAUACUGGGUGUCUAGAGUAUGGAAGAGGUGAGUGGAAUUCCGAGUGUAGAGGUGAAAUUCGUAGAUAUUCGGAGGAACACCAGUGGCGAAGGCGGCUCACUGGUCCAUUACUGACGCUGAGGUGCGAAAGCGUGGGGAGCAUACAGGAUUAGAUACCCUGGUAGU
rnacentral:rRNA from 1 species